rnacentral:rRNA from 1 species
GAUGAACGCUGGCGGCGUGCCUAAUACAUGCAAGUCGAGCGAACAGAUGAGGAGCUUGCGCCUCUGACGUUAGCGGCGGACGGGUGAGUAACACGUGGAUAACCUCCCUGUAAGACGGGGAUAACUUCGGGAAACGGGAGCUAAUACCGGAUAAUAUCUUGAACCGCAUGGUGCAAUAGUGAAAUACGGUGUUGCUGGCACGUAUAGAUGGAUCCGCGCCGCAUGAGCUAGUUGGUAAGGUAACGGCUUAGCAAGGCAACGAUGCGUAGCCGAGCUGAGAGGGUGAUAGGCCACCCGGGAGCUGAGCCGCCGUCCAUACUCCUACGGGAGGCACCAGUAGCGUAUGGUCCGCAGCGGGCGGGAGCCUGACGGAGCAGCGCCGCGUGAGUGGUGAAGGUCUUGCGUGCGUAAAGCUCUGUUAUUAGGGGAGAACAAAUGUCUAAGUAACUAUGCACGUCUUGACGGUACCUGAUAAGAAAGCCCCGGCUAACUACGUG